rnacentral:rRNA from 1 species
UGGGGAAUAUUGCACAAUGGGGGAAACCCUGAUGCAGCAACGCCGCGUGAGUGAUGACGGCCUUCGGGUUGUAAAGCUCUGUCUUUGGGGACGAUAAUGACGGUACCCAAGGAGGAAGCCACGGCUAACUACGUGCCAGCAGCCGCGGUAAUACGUAGGUGGCAAGCGUUGUCCGGAUUUACUGGGCGUAAAGGGAGCGUAGGCGGAUUUUUAAGUGGGAUGUGAAAUACCCGGGCUCAACCUGGGUGCUGCAUUCCAAACUGGAAAUCUAGAGUGCAGGAGGGGAAAGUGGAAUUCCUAGUGUAGCGGUGAAAUGCGUAGAGAUUAGGAAGAACACCAGUGGCGAAGGCGACUUUCUGGACUGUAACUGACACUGAGGCUCGAAAGCGUGGGGAGCAAACA